AUUGAACGCUGGCGGCAGGCUUAACACAUGCAAGUCGAGCGGAGAGAAGUAGCUUGCUACUGAUCUUAGCGGCGGACGGGUGAGUAAUGCUUAGGAAUCUGCCUAUUAGUGGGGGACAACAUUUCGAAAGGAAUGCUAAUACCGCAUACGCCCUACGGGAGAAAGCAGGGGAUCUUCGGACCUUGCGCUAAUAGAUGAGCCUAAGUCGGAUUAGCUAGUUGGUGGGGUAAAGGCCUACCAAGGCGACGAUCUGUAGCGGGUCUGAGAGGAUGAUCCGCCACACUGGGACUGAGACACGGCCCAGACUCCUACGGGAGGCAGCAGUGGGGAAUAUUGGACAAUGGGCGGAAGCCUGAUCCAGCCAUGCCGCGUGUGUGAAGAAGGCCUUAUGGUUGUAAAGCACUUUAAGCGAGGAGGAGGCUACUUUAGUUAAUACCUAGAGAUAGUGGACGUUACUCGCAGAAUAAGCACCGGCUAACUCUGUGCCAGCCGCCGCCGUAA
rnacentral:rRNA from 1 species